rnacentral:ncRNA from 2 species
GUGCGGAGUAUAAGCGGCUAGCGCCGGGCGAACGGUUCGCUUCGGCGUGGGGCAUUGCUCCUGGG